UGCCUCAUUCCAGAUGAGAGGGGGCACUGCUGAUUGGUGUCCUAGAUUGUCAAUGUGGCUAAAUUGAGACACAGGUCAUGCUUCCAUCGACAGUAAAUGCAUUGCAGUGGUGACAAUGAGAUCUGUAACAUUU
rnacentral:snoRNA from 1 species